UUUGGGUCUAAUUACCUUCUAACUCCUUCUUUGAUUGUAACGCCCCAAUUUCGGGAAUUCUGUGAAUGUUGGCAAAAUUUCAUGCUUUGAUUUUGUCAUUUGUGAGUGAAAUUAUGAAAUAUGACCUAUGUGAAAAUGUUUGAAAAUACUAUAGGCUAAUUUGUAGUGGCCAAAUAAAUAGUAGUGCAAAAUAGAAGGAUUUGCAUGUCAAACCUCCCAUUUUACAAGAAGU
rnacentral:lncRNA from 1 species